UAGGGAAUCUUCGGCAAUGGGGGCAACCCUGACCGAGCAACGCCGCGUGAGUGAAGAAGGUUUUCGGAUCGUAAAGCUCUGUUGUAAGAGAAGAAUGUGUGUGAGAGUGGAAAGUUCACACAGUGACGGCAACUUACCAGAAAGGGACGGCUAACUACGUGCCAGCAGCCGCGGUAAUACGUAGGUCCCAAGCGUUGUCCGGAUUUAUUGGGCGUAAAGCGAGCGCAGGCGGUUUAAUAAGUCUGAAGUUAAAGGCAGUGGCUUAACCAUUGUUCGCUUUGGAAACUGUUAAACUUGAGUGCAGAAGGGGAGAGUGGAAUUCCAUGUGUAGCGGUGAAAUGCGUAGAUAUAUGGAGGAACACCGGUGGCGAAAGCGGCUCUCUGGUCUGUAACUGACGCUGAGGCUCGAAAGCGUGGGGAGCAAACAGG
rnacentral:rRNA from 1 species